AGCAGCCGCGGUAAUUCCAGCUCCAAUAGCGUAUAUUAAAGUUGUUGCAGUUAAAAAGCUCGUAGUUGAAUUUCGGGGUUAGUAGGUUGGUCAUGCCUCUGGUAUGUACUGGUCUCACUGAUUCCUCCUUCCUGAUGAACCUUAAUGCCAUUAAUUUGGUGUUUUGGGGAAUUUGGACUGUUACUUUGAAAAAAUUAGAGUGUUUAAAGCAAGCUAACGCUUGAAUACAUUAGCAUGGAAUAAUGAAAUAGGACGUUCGAUCCUAUUUUGUUGGUUUCUAGGAUUGACGUAAUGAUUAAUAGGGAUAGUUGGGGGCAUUAGUAUUCAAUUGUCAGAGGUGAAAUUCUUGGAUUUAUUGAAGACUAACUACUGCGAAAGCAUUUGCCAAGGAUGUUUUCAUUAAUCAAGAACGAAAGUUAGGGGAUCGAAGACGAUCAGAUACCGUCGUAGUCUUAACCAUAAACUAUGCGA
rnacentral:misc_RNA from 1 species